ACACCGUUGGUGAAGUGGUUAUCAUGCUUGCCUUCCAUCGAUCAAACCAUUAAGAAAGCAAGCGGCUCGGGUUCGAUUCCCGAACGGUGUA